rnacentral:rRNA from 1 species
AACGAACGCUGGCGGCAUGCCUAACACAUGCAAGUCGAACGAGACCUUCGGGUCUAGUGGCGCACGGGUGCGUAACGCGUGGGAACCUGCCCUUAGGUUCGGAAUAACUCCCCGAAAGGGGUGCUAAUACCGGAUAAUGUCUUCGGACCAAAGAUUUAUCGCCUUUGGAUGGGCCCGCGUGGGAUUAGCUAGUUGGUAGGGUAAAAGCCUACCAAGGCGACGAUCCAUAGCUGGUCUGAGAGGAUGAUCAGCCACACUGGGACUGAGACACGGCCCAGACUCCUACGAGAGGCAGCAGUGGGGAAUAUUGUACAAUGGGCGAGAGCCUGAUCCAGCAAUGCCGCGUGAGUGAUGAAGGCCUUAGGGUUGUAAAGCUCUUUUACCCGGGAUGAUAAUGACAGUACCGGGAGAAUAAGCUCCGGCUAACUCCGUG